rnacentral:rRNA from 1 species
GACGAACGCUGGCGGCGUGCCUAAUACAUGCCAGUUGAGCGAUGAAGCUUGGUGCUUGCACCAAUUUGAAGAGCAGCGAACGGGUGAGUAACGCGUGGGGAAUCUGCCUUUGAGCGGGGGACAACAUUUGGAAACGAAUGCUAAUACCGCAUAAUAACUUUAAACAUAAGUUUUAAGUUUGAAAGAUGCAAUUGCAUCACUCAAAGAUGAUCCCGCGUUGUAUUAGCUAGUUGGUGAGGUAAAGGCUCACCAAGGCGAUGAUACAUAGCCGACCUGAGAGGGUGAUCGGCCACAUUGGGACUGAGACACGGCCCAAACUCCUACGGGAGGCAGCAGUAGGGAAUCUUCGGCAAUGGACGGAAGUCUGACCGAGCAACGCCGCGUGAGUGAAGAAGGUUUUCGGAUCGUAAAACUCUGUUGGUAGAGAAGAACGUUGGUGAGAGUGGAAAGCUCAUCAAGUGACGGUAACUACCCAGAAAGGGACGGCUAACUACGUG